rnacentral:rRNA from 1 species
CCAGACUCCUACGGGAGGCAGCAGUGAGGAAUAUUGGUCAAUGGGCGCAAGCCUGAACCAGCCAAGUCGCGUGAGGGAUGACGGUCCUAUGGAUUGUAAACCUCUUUUGUCGGGGAGCAAGGCCCGCCACGUGUGGCGGGAAGGAGAGUACCCGAAGAAAAAGCAUCGGCUAACUCCGUGCCAGCAGCCGCGGUAAUACGGAGGAUGCGAGCGUUAUCCGGAUUUAUUGGGUUUAAAGGGCGCGGGGGCGGUUUUAAAGUACGGGGGAGACCCCCGGGGCCCCACCCCCCGCCCGCCGUUGAAACUGGCAGUCUCGAGUUGGAGAGAAGUAUGCGGAAUGCGCGGUGUAGCGGUGAAAUGCAUAGAUAUCGCGCAGAACUCCGAUUGCGAAGGCAGCAUGCCGGCUCCACACUGACGCUGAGGCACGAAAGCGUGGGUAUCGAACAGGAUUAGAUACCCUUGUAA